UACGUAGGGUGCAAGCGUUGUCCGGAAUUAUUGGGCGUAAAGAGCUUGUAGGCGGUUUGUCGCGUCUGCUGUGAAAUUUCGGGGCUCAACCCCGAACUUGCAGUGGGUACGGGCAGACUGGAGUGUGGUAGGGGAGACUGGAAUUCCUGGUGUAGCGGUGAAAUGCGCAGAUAUCAGGAGGAACACCGAUGGCGAAGGCAGGUCUCUGGGCCACUACUGACGCUGAGAAGCGAAAGCAUGGGGAGCGAACAGG
rnacentral:rRNA from 1 species